rnacentral:rRNA from 1 species
AUUGAACGCUGGCGGCAGGCCUAACACAUGCAAGUCGAACGAGUGGCGGACGGGUGAGUAAUGUCUGGGAACCUGCCUAAUGGAGGGGGAUAACUACUGGAAACGGUAGCUAAUACCGCAUACCAUCGGAGAGGCCCAAAUUGGAUUAGCUAGUGGGUGGGGUAAAGGCCCCCCUAGGCAACGAUCCCGAGCUGGUCUGAGAGGAUGACCAGCCACACUGGAACGGAGACACGGUCCAGACUCCUACGGGAGGCAGCAGUGGGGAAUAGUGGACAAUGGGCGCAAGCCUGAUGCAGCCAUGCCGCGUGUAUGAAGAAGGCCUUCGGGUUGUAAAGUACUUUCAGCGGGGAGGCGUUACCCGCAGAAGAAGCACCGGCUAACUCCGUGCCAGCAGCCGCGGUAAUUC